rnacentral:rRNA from 1 species
GACGUAGGGCGCGAGCGUUGCCCGGAUUUAUUGGGCGUAAAGAGCUCGUAGGCGGCUUGUCGCGUCGACCGUGAAAACUUGGGGCUCAACCCCAAGCCUGCGGUCGAUACGGGCAGGCUCGAGUUCGGUAGGGGAGACUGGAAUUCCUGGUGUAGCGGUGAAAUGCGCAGAUAUCAGGAGGAGCACCGAUGGCGAAGGCAGGUCUCUGGGCCGAUACUGACGCUGAGGAGCGAAAGCGUGGGGAGCGAACAGG